UCAGGAUGAACGCUAGCGGCAGGCUUAACACAUGCAAGUCGAGGGGCAGCGGGUGUAGCAAUACAUGCCGGCGACCGGCGCAAGGGUGCGUAACGCGUGAGCAAUCUGCCCGUAUCAGGGGGGAUAAGCGAUGGAAACGUCGUCUAAUACCGCAUAACACAUUGGAUGGCAUCGUCCGAUGUUGAAAGCUUCGGUGGAUACGGAUGAGCUCGCGAGACAUUAGUUAGUUGGCGGGGUAACGGCCCACCAAGACCGCGAUGUCUAGGGGAACUGAGAGGUUGGUCCCCCACACUGGAACUGAGACACGGUCCAGACUCCUACGGGAGGCAGCAGUGAGGAAUAUUGGACAAUGGCCGGAAGGCUGAUCCAGCCAUGCCGCGUGAAGGAAUAAGGUCCUAUGGAUUGUAAACUUCUUUUGAGAGGGAGCAAUAAGGUGUACGUGUACACCGAUGAGAGUACCUUUCGAAUAAGCAUUGGCUAACUCCGUGCCAGCCGCAGC
rnacentral:rRNA from 1 species